GUCUACAGCCAUACCACCCUGAACACGCCCGAUCUCGUCUGAUCUCAGAAGCUAAGCAGGGUCGGGCCUGGUUAGUACUUGAACUAGUAGUCUUUUUGAUCUAGCAGUUUGGAUC
ensembl:rRNA 5S_rRNA 5S ribosomal RNA